AUUGAACGCUGGCGGCAUGCUUUACACAUGCAAGUCGAACGGCAGCACGGGGGCAACCCUGGUGGCGAGUGGCGAACGGGUGAGUAACACAUCGGAACGUGCCCAGUUGUGGGGGAUAACCCAUCGAAGGGUGGGCUAAUACCGCAUGAGCUGGCAACAGGAAAGCGGGGGACCCGCAAGGGCCUUGUGCGAUUGGAGCGGCCGAUGUCCGAUUAGCUAGUUGGUGGGGUAAAGGCCUACCAAGGCUUCGAUCGGUAGCUGGUCUGAGAGGAUGAUCAGCCACACUGGGACUGAGACACGGCCCAGACUCCUACGGGAGCAGCAGUGGGGAAUUUUGGACAAUGGGGGCAACCCUGAUCCAGCCAUGCCGCGUGAGUGAAGAAGGCCUGGUUGUAAGUACGUAC
rnacentral:rRNA from 1 species